rnacentral:rRNA from 1 species
UGGGGAAUAUUGCACAAUGGGCGAAAGCCUGAUGCAGCAACGCCGCGUGAGUGAUGACGGUCUUCGGAUUGUAAAGCUCUGUCUUUGGGGACGAUAAUGACGGUACCCAAGGAGGAAGCCACGGCUAACUACGUGCCAGCAGCCGCGGUAAUACGUAGGUGGCAAGCGUUGUCCGGAUUUACUGGGCGUAAAGGGUGCGUAGGCGGACCUUUAAGUGAGAUGUGAAAUCCGCGAGCUUAACUUGGGGGCUGCAUUUCAAACUGGAGGGCUAGAGUGCAGGAGAGGAGAGUGGAAUUCCUAGUGUAGCGGUGAAAUGCGUAGGGAGUAGGAAGAACACCAGUGGCGAAGGCGGGUCUCGGGACUGUAGCUUACGCUGAGGCACGAAAGCG